ensembl:misc_RNA Metazoa_SRP Metazoan signal recognition particle RNA
GCCGGACACGGUGGCGCGCGCCUGUAGUCCCAGCUACUCGGGAGGCUGAGAUGGGAGGAUCGCUUGAGCCCAGGAGUUCUGGGCUGUAGUGCGCUAUGCCGAUCGGGUGUCCGCACUAAGUUCGGCAUCAAUAUGGUGACCUCCCGGGAGCGGGGGACCACCAGGUUGCCUAAGGAGGGGUGAACCGGCCCAGGUCGGAAACGGAGCAGGUCAAAACUCCCGUGCUGAUCAGUAGUGGGAUCGCGCCUGUGAAUAGCCACUGCACUCCAGCCUGGGCAACAUAGCAAGACCCCGUCUCUU